UGUGAUUUUUAGGACAUGACAGUAAUACUGAGAGUAAAGUUCCCCCUGUAUUAUCUGUCUAGGUAUUUAUGUUGUCUAAAUGUUGCUCUGCCAUUAAAACAAGACGUUGAUCCAUUUUCCCCCCCCCCCCACCAGGUUGUGUAUGAACAAGAAGGGGUUUUCAUUCAUUCAUCCUGUGCAAAAAAUGACGACCAGGACAGUAUAAUAUCAGGAGUACUUCGUGUCAUAGAAAAGGAAGCUGAAGUAAUAGUAGACUGGAGACCAUUGGAUGAUACUUUGGACUCUUCCAAUAUCCUCUGUGCUGGAAAGGAUUCCAGUUCAGUUGUAGAGUGGACACAAACCCCUAAAGAAAAAUCUCCACGAGGGUCAGACCACCAGAGUAAUUAUGAAGCAGAAUGGGACAUGGUCAACACAGUCUCAUUUAAAAAGAAGCCAUGUUCUAAUGGAGAUGCUACAACUCGUGCAAAUGGAGAAAGCAAGUGGUCAUUCCAGUUCAGUUUGACAGAUCUGAAGUCAAUUAAACAAAACAAAGAAGGCAUGGGAUGGUCUUAUUUGGUAUUCUGUCUAAAGGAUGAUGUCAUCCUCCCAGCUCUUCACUUCCAUCAUGGUGAUAGCAAAUUAUUGACUGUGUCCCUUGAAAAAUAUGUGGUGUUGUGUGAAUCUUCACAGGAUAAAAGAAUUCUUCUUGUCAAUUGUCAGAACAAGAGUCUUUCACAGUCUUUUGAAAAUCUCCUUGAUGAACCAACAUAUGGUCUAAUACAGGUAGAGCAACUAGACAGAAGAAAGACAUUUUGGGCCAUUCACCAUUGGAAAAAAUUGAAGAAGGAUCCAUAUACAGCAACUAUGGGAGGAUUUUCCAAAGUGACAAACUAUAUUUUUGAUAGUUUGCGAGGAAGUGACUCUUCAACUCAACAGCGACCACCAUCUGAAAUGGCAGACUUUCUCAGUGAUGCUAUUCCAGGGCUAAAGAUAAAUCAACAGGAAGAACCAGGAUUUGAAGUUAUUACACGAAUUGAUCUAGGUAAACGACCUGACGUUAUCAGAAGAGAGCCAGUGUCUGCUGAAGAAUGGACUAAGAACAUGGAUUCAGAAGGAAGAAUCUUAGAUGCUGACUUCAUAAAGCAAAUGAUAUUCAAAGGGGGACUCUGCCAUGCUUUGAGAAAAGAAGUAUGGAAAUUCCUUUUGGGUUAUUUUCCUUGGCACAGUACCAGAGAGGAAAGAACUAAUUUGCAAAAAAGAAAAACAGAUGAAUAUUUCAGGAUGAAACUUCAGUGGAAAUCAGUCAGCGAUGAGCAAGAAAAACGAAAUUCAAGAUUAAGAGACUAUAAGAGUCUUAUAGAAAAAGAUGUAAACAGAACAGACAGAACAAACAAGUUCUAUGAAGGCCAAGAUAAUCCAGGAUUGAUUUUGCUUCAUGACAUUUUGAUGACCUAUUGUAUGUAUGACUUUGAUUUAGGGUAUGUUCAGGGAAUGAGUGACUUGCUUUCUCCUGUCUUGUAUGUCAUGGAAAAUGAAGUGGAUGCCUUUUGGUGCUUUGUAUCAUACAUGGAUCAAAUGCUGCAAAGAAUCCAUCCUGGUGUCUGUUGCCUUGGGGAAAAUCGCAUUGCGCAGAAGUGUGGAUUUUGCCAGCAGUUGAAACUGUGGUCCCGAAAGGAUAGAGAACUGAGACUUAAACUUCUUCCAGUGGAAGCAGCUCUCCAACUGCCUUCAGACCCAUGUCAAGACUCAGUAUGGUGGGAAUCCUUACCACAGCUCUCUACAUCCAAGGAGGGUGAGCCUAAGAAGACACCUAUGAACCACUCACACAAGGCUUUUAAAAAGAGAGCCGGGAGUCCCCACAGCAAGCCCUGAACCAGCCGAAAACUGCCAGUUCACUCAGUAUCAUCGGUACUGACGGUACAGAAGCCAUCCAAAUGCAGUACCUAGAGCUCAUACGGUACUGUCCCAGCAGAACACAUUAGGCUGCCUAAGGACCCAAUGGGCCUAGGCAAUGAAACGUCGGUAACGACUGGGUGAGACGGAGAUACUCUGCCUUGGGGAAGGCUCCGUUGGUGUGGACAAUGGCAUCUGUACCGUCAAAGGUAUGCCAACCACCAGUGAAUCGUUCAACCAGGACCGCAUCACCAAUUCCAUUGGUAUAGUCACUCCGGCACCAUCGUCCACCCCCCAGUAACCAAUACCUACUGCACCUCCUGACUUCAGAUAUUCAAGAGACCUUAUAGUGUCUGAUGUACUGGAGUCUCCUCUACUUACUACCAGGGCUCUGGUACCAAGUCUGCCUUGAGUUCCAGAUUUUCCUUCUGCAUUGUGCCAUUCACCUGCAUUCUCUAGCAGGGAGUCAGACAGUGAGCAGGAGGAGGUAGUCUCCCAUUGCUCUUCAUUUACCUUAUGGUAUCCAUUACCAAUCUGGACCUCUUCAGGCUCCCUGUCCAUCUGACCCUCAGCCUCCCUGGUAUGGUCAGCCAUGGUACUAAACACUGAGACCUUUCCUGCCAUCCCAGUGGCCUUACUGGGAUUCAUGGCAGGCAUAUAGACAUUGUGCCUCCUGAAGUUCUAGCAUGGCUUACCAGGAACCAGUGAGGCAACCUUCUUCUGCCACUGCAGCCAGAGCCUUUGAGCCCCCUGACGAGAUGAGGGAAGAACAGGAGGAUAAUAUUGUGGAAGAGGUUACACCCCAAACUAAUUUCUCAUCUUCAUCACCAGAUGAAACAGUGAUGUCUCUCCACCAUUGUUAGCAGACAACUUUAAAUUUUUUUCAAGAACUAGCUCAGAGGGUGGCUUACAUACUGCAGUUACCACUACAAGAGGUGACAGAAUCCCACCAUAAAUUACUGGACAUUUUACACCCCUCUGCCUCAUCCAGAGUAGCUCUCCCUAUCAGCAAGGCUCUGUUAGACCCAACCAAACUUGCGCGGCAGACCCCUGCAUCGGUCCGGCCAACCUGUAGGCAGGCUAAUAAGAAAUAUUACGUGCCAGUGAAAGACACAGAAUUUCUCUUCUCCCACCCCCACACCCCAAUUCAGUCAUUGUGGAGGUGGUAAACUCCAAAGGUCAGCACCACCAGAGCUUUCCCAAAAGUGCGUCAGGGCAGUGCCCCCACUCCCUCCGUGGCCCUGCCCUGCUCCUUCCGCCUGAUGCCCCACCCCAGGCCAAGCUAGAAGCCAGAGCAGGCCAGGAGCCAUGGACCCUCACCUCAUCUGCCCAGGGCAGGUGGAGGGGAUCAUGGCUCACCACAGUUGCCCACACGGCAUUUCUCGACCCAGCCAUCUUUUACGAGAACAGAUAGACCAAAGGUUUCUACUCUCAUUACUUCCUGAUACCAAGAAAAAGGGAGGUUGGAGACCCAUUUUAGAUCUCUGAGCACUCAACAAAUUUGUCAAGGCUCAAAAGUUCAAGAUGGUCACUUUAGCAACAAUUAUUCCAGCGUUGGAACAGGGAGACUGGUUUUCAAUCCACUACCUCCAGGAUGCUUAUUUCCAUAUUUCAGUCAUGUCAUAUCUCACAGAUGAUAUCUCAGAUUCACACUAGGGCAGGAACACUACCGGUACAGAGAACUCCUUUUUGGCCUCUUGUUGGCUCCCAUAGUAUUCCCCAAGAUCCUCUCUGUAGUGGCAGCCCACCUACGCUCUCAGGGGAUCAUAAUCUACCUUUAUCUGGACAGUUGUCUGUUCAGGGCACACUCCUUUGACAAAACUCAGCAGGUUACCCAUAUGACUUUGGAUUUAUUCAGAAAACUAGGCCUACAAAUUAACGUACAAAAAUAGACAUUAACCCCAGUAUAGAGUGUAGAAUUCAUAGGAGCCAAUGUUGACUCUGUCCAAGUGUGAGCGCUCCUUCUAUAACACAGAUUGCUCAGUUUCUUCAUGCUUAUAGAGACAGUGCAAACCAGCCCUUAGAUAUUGGCCAGACAUUGCCUUCAGCUUCUGGGACACGUGACCAUGGAUACAUUUGUGAUGGUUUAUGCCAGACUUCGUAUGAGAUGCUUCCAGUCAUGGUUCAGCUCGGUUUACAGACUGAACAAAGACAGCCUGAACAAACCACUAUCUCUACCGACCAAGAUAAAACAAUCUUUGAAUUGGUGGAAGAACCCAGCAAACGUCUACAUGGGGAUCCCAUUUGUGCAACCUCCUCCUCCACCACUGCUCACCAUCAACGGAUACCCCCCAUAAGGUUGGGUGCACAUCUCAAUGACCUCACAGUACAGGGUAAAUGGUCACCCUCUGAGAUGUGUCUUAACAUCCACCUCCUCGAGCUCAGAGCUGGGUGCCUGGCCAGCACCCGCCGGUAUCAGGGUGCCCUGCCAGUGCUUAAUUUGUGCCAGGGCUGAGCUCUGGCAUCUCUUUCAACACAAAUUCAACACUGGGGGAGGCAAUGGAGCCCAGAGGUGAAGGGGGUGGGGGAAGCCUAGCAAGCCCAUGGGGGCCAGGGGUAAUGGGGGGUGCCAAAAUACAAGUUUGCCCAGGGUGCCAUUUCCCUUAAGGCCAGCCCUGGAUACCCCAUAACAUACUCCAGUAAUGGGGGACAUCAGUAGUAGACUUGUUCACCACUUACCAGAAUAAGAAAUGGUCGCAAUACUGCUCCAGAGCAGGCCUCGGAGAGCGCUCUUUGGGGGACACACUCCUCCUCUCAUGGGACAAGGGCCUUCUUUACGCCUUACACUGUUUCCUCUCUUGCUGAAAGUCCUGUUGAAAAUAAAGAGAAAAAGAGUAAAUGUCAUAGUAAUUGCUCCUACCUGCCCAAGAGAGAUGUGGUACCCUUAACAGUCACAACUUGCAAUGUGUCCACCGAUCACACAUCAACCCAGUCCUUAUCUCCUCUCGCAGAAAGAAGGAUGCACUCUCCAUCCCAGCCUAUGUAUACUCUGGCUCAAAGCCUGGCUUUUUUAUGGUUCCAGCAUAUAGAGAGAUCCUUCUCCAAGGAGAUACAGGAAGUGUUAUUAUACAGCAGGAAAUUAACUACUCGUCGUACUUACCUACAAAAGUGGACCAGAUUUGAGAUGUGGUGCAUUCUAGAGGAAUUACUGGACAUAAACUACUCUACCACUAGUCUUAGACUAUUUUCUGACUCUUAAGAAAUCGGGACUCUCUAUUAGUUCACUAAAGGUACGCUUGGCGGCAAUAGCAACUUUUCAUCAAAAGAUAGAAGUUUUCUCACACCCAAUUACAAAAUGGUUUUGUAAAGGCAUAACAAAUCUUUCUCCAACCCAGAUAUUCUACCCCACCAUGGGACCCGACUUUAGUAUUAAAAGGGUUGACCAGAUUGCUCUUUGAACCCAUGGCCACUUGUUCACUAACACACCUUUCAGUGAACACUGCCUUUCUAGUCAUCAUCACCUCAAUGAGUAUAGGGGAGAUAGUGGCUCUUAUGGCGCAACUCCCUUUCCAGUGUUCUUUCCUGACAAAGUCAUGCUCUGACCACACCCAAAGUUCACCCUCAAGGUGACUUCUACCUUUCACGUGAAUCAAAACAUUCAUCUCCCUGCCUUUUAUCCCAAACCUCACCAGGAUAACAGAGAAGCCAUUCUACACAUGCUUGAGGUAAGGAGAGCCUUGGCUUUCUAUUUGGAUAGGACAGAGGCCUAUAUAAAAUCUAAUAGGCUCUUCCUCUCCAUUGCGGAUAGGUCUAAAGGCAUAGUGAUUUCAGCCCAGAGAUCUCUGAGUGGGUCUCGAACUGCAUCAAACUCUGUUAUCAGGCUCGCAAUUUAGUACCUCCAUCUACAAUCCAUACACACUCUACAAGGUCGGUUUCCUCCUCGGUCACCUUCUUCAAGCAUGUCCCCGUCCUGGAAAUCUGCAGAGUAGCUACUUGAGCAUCUGCACACACCUUUGCAAAACAUUAUGCCAUCAUGGGAGACUUAUGCCGAUGCUAGAUUCAGCUGUGCAGUCAUCCAUAGCAGACUUGACUCCGAAGCUCCAGCUUCCCAUUGGGGAUACUACUUGGGAGUCACCUACAGUGGAGCACCCAUAGGAGCAAUACUUGAAAAAGAAGAGGAAGUUACUCACUUUGUGCCAUAACAAUUAUUCUUGGAGAUGUGUUCCCCUAUGGGUGCUCCACGACCCUCUCUCCUUCCCUCUACUUUGGAGUUCUCAUUAUUGACUCUGCGGUAGAGAAGAAACUAAGGAGGGUUCGCCUGCAUGAUGCUGGCUAGCCUCAUGGCAGAGCACAAGGGGGGGCCCAGCCCAUGUGUGGGCCAAAUGGACACUGCAACCAAAGUUCAACGAUCAGCAGUGCAGGGAUGCAAACACACCUAGUGUGGAACACUUAUAGGGACGCACAUCUCAAAAAAUCAUCGUUGCUGCACAAGCAUGAGAAUUUUGAGGAACAAAUGCAGGGUAUGAAGACACAGCUAAUUCAACUGAGUACUUUGCUCCGCUUGCUAGACAGUGGAUUUUGCAGUUACUUAGAAUCUCAAGACUCGGGUUACCUUUAUUUUUGCUUCCGAUG